AACGAACGCUGGCGGCAUGCCUAACACAUGCAAGUCGAACGAGACCUUCGGGUCUAGUGGCGCACGGGUGCGUAACGCGUGGGAACCUGCCCUUAGGUUCGGAAUAACUCCCCGAAAGGGGUGCUAAUACCGGAUAAUGUCUUCGGACCAAAGAUUUAUCGCCUUUGGAUGGGCCCGCGUUGGAUUAGCUAGUUGGUAGGGUAAAAGCCUACCAAGGCGACGAUCCAUAGCUGGUCUGAGAGGAUGAUCAGCCACACUGGGACUGAGACACGGCCCAGACCCGUACGGGAGGCAGCAGUGGGGAAUAUUGGACGAUGGGCGAAGGCCUGAUACAGCAAUGCCGCGUGAGUGAUGAAGGCCUUAGGGUUGUAAAGCUCUUUUACCCGGGAUGAUAAUGACAGUACCGGGAGAAUAAGCUCCGGCUAACUCCGUG
rnacentral:rRNA from 1 species